GACGAACGCUGGCGGCGUGCUUAACACAUGCAGUCGAACGGAAAGGCCCUGCUUUUGUGGGGUGCUCGAGUGGCGAACGGGUGAGUAACACGUGAGUAACCUGCCCUUGACUUUGGGAUAACUUCAAGAAACUGGGGCUAAUACCGGAUAGGAGCUCCUGCUGCAUGGUGGGGGUUGGAAAGUUUCGGCGGUUGGGGAUGGACUCGCGGCUUAUCAGCUUGUUGGUGGGGUAGUGGCUUACCAAGGCUUUGACGGGUAGCCGGCCUGAGAGGGUGACCGGCCACAUUGGGACUGAGAUACGGCCCAGACUCCUACGGGAGGCAGCAGUGGGGAAUAUUGCACAAUGGGCGGAAGCCUGAUGCAGCAACGCCGCGUGCGGGAUGACGGCCUUCGGGUUGUAAACCGCUUUCGCCUGUGACGAAGCGUGAGUGACGGUAAUGGGUAAAGAAGCACCGGCUAACUACGUG
rnacentral:rRNA from 1 species